rnacentral:sRNA from 2 species
GUCCUUAAAAAGCCGAAUCCCCAAAGCUGCUUUGGGGUACGGAGGAACCAUUUUUUGGGGUGAAUCGAAUUCAGAAGUCAGAGGUUAGGAGUUAGAAUUCCAUGGAAUUCAAAGCCGAAUUCCGGCAACUAAUUCGAUGACCGGCUACUGAAAUCGUAGGGUUAUCUUUUACCGAACCCGUCAGCUAACUCCGGAGGCGUAAAAGAAAGGGGAA